rnacentral:rRNA from 1 species
GCGAACGCUGGCGGCAGGCUUAACACAUGCAAGUCGAACGCACCGCAAGGUGAGUGGCAGACGGGUGAGUAACACGUGGGAACGUGCCCUCCGGUCUGGGAUAACCCUGGGAAACUAGGGCUAAUACCGGAUACGUGCUUUGGCAGAAAGGUUUACUGCCGGAGGAUCGGCCCGCGUCUGAUUAGCUAGUUGGUGGGGUAACGGCCUACCAAGGCGACGAUCAGUAGCUGGUCUGAGAGGAUGAUCAGCCACACUGGGACUGAGACACGGCCCAGACUCCUACGGGAGGCAGCAGUGGGGAAUAUUGGACAAUGGGCGCAAGCCUGAUCCAGCCAUGCCGCGUGAGUGAUGACGGCCUUAGGGUUGUAAAGCUCUUUUCUCCGGGACGAUAAUGACGGUACCGGAGGAAUAAGCCCCGGCUAACUUCGU